AUCGCUUCUCGGCCUUUUGGCUAAGAUCAAGUGUAGUAUCUGUUCUUAUCAGUUUAAUAUCUGAUACGUCCUCUAUCCAAGGACAAUGUAUGAAAUGGAUUUUUGGAAUAGGGAGAUGGAAUAGGGGCUUGCUCUGUCCACUCCAUGCAUUGGCCUGCAGUACCUCCAGGAACGGUGCACCAAAA
rnacentral:snRNA from 1 species